ACGCGGGCGCUUGUUUAGUUUUAAAGGCAUCGAAAAUUUAACGGAUCUAAACAAUAUACCGAAACCUUGUCCAUAACAAAUUAUGAAGGCGCUAGCGCCUUCAUAAUGAAAUGGGGUAGCAGAACGUUAGGUUCUUGAGGCGUUAGCAUAGUAUGCUGGCGCCAAUCAAUUUAGUCUUAGUGUAAGGACUUGUGUCUUAUACUAGGGCUAAAUAUAAUCAAAUAACUUAAGUGAUAAUGGUGACAUGAGUAACAAAAAAAAAAAAAAAAAAAAA
rnacentral:rRNA from 1 species